rnacentral:rRNA from 1 species
CAAUGGGGGAAACCCUGAUGGUGCGACGCCGCGUGGAGGAAGAAGGCCUUCGGGUUGUAAACUCCUGUCAUAAGGGAGCAAGCCUUAUAUGUUAAUAGCAUGUAAGGUUGAUAGUACCUUAAGAGGAAGAGACGGCUAACUCUGUGCCAGCAGCCGCGGUAAUACAGAGGUCUCAAGCGUUGUUCGGAAUUACUGGGCGUAAAGGGUGCGUAGGCUGUUUUGUAAGUUGGAUGUGAAAUCCCGGUGCUCAACACCGGAACUGCAUCUGAAACUGC